rnacentral:lncRNA from 1 species
GUUUUUAUAUCAUGUUACUUUAAUGUUUAUGUUGUACUUCCAUCUGAGGAAAAGCGGACGAGGAGCGUCUACAGCUACAACUACAUAAGGUGAAGCCUUCUGUUUAUUGCCUCAAACUUAUUAAUUAUUUAAAAUGGAGGGAGGAAAAAUCUGCAGUAUAUAUCCCGAAAAAAGGAAAGAAAAACCAUACUAUGAUAAUAAUAGGAGAAAGGAAGAAGCGAUGGAUCGAUAUAUAUAUGUCCACUCAUGACGUCACUUUUAUUACUUCAAGGAGAUCCAACCAACUACUAGGAAAAGAGAAGGAGAGUUAGUGAUGUGCUCUAUAUAAUCAAACUUGAUAAGUCGAGUUUCUUUUUGAAACUCCCUGAUAAUGAAUUGUCCAAUGAUGACGUCAUUGGUCAACUUGCUCCUAGGAACCAACCAAGUAAUAAAAAGGAAAAAAAAGUACAUCUACUUGAGUUAGUGAUGUGCGCGCGCUCUCUCUAAUCAAACUCUUAUUCUAGUGAUGAAGCGAGUGAGACUCGACUUUCUUUUCAAACUCUGUCAUAAUGAAUAGAUAGAUACAUGCAUUUUUUUCAAUUAGUUCCAAAAGAAUGAUUUUCUCUCUCUUCUUUUCCUCUCCUUCCAUCUCAUCUGAUUAUAUUGGAAAAUGAUGGAUCUCUCUUCCCUACUUUUCCUUAGUUAUAUAUGAAUGUCAGCUUGUUUGUUCGUGUAUUAUGUAGAAAUAUUAUUUUCAUUUUUUGAUAUGUUUUAUGUAUUAAUAAUGACUUUUUUAUUAUUUCAAAAACUUUUUCUUCUAAAUGCAGGAAACACCCAGCCUUUUUAUAUGCAUAUUUAUAUAGAAUACAUAUUUUUUUCUCCUUUUUUA